CAGCUCUACGGCAUUUACUGGCGCUAUAGUGUAAUGUACAGUGUUGGUAUUUGAAGGGGUGUUUGUAUAUAUUUUUUUUGAGUUUGAAUGCAGGGGUGUGUUUGUAUGUAAUGUUUGUGUUAGAUUGCAGGAGUGUGUUUGUAUGUUGUGCUGGUGUUUGACUGCUUGGAUGUAUGCACAUACACUACCACAUACAUACAUACUUAUACAGAUAUUCAUGUACAUUAACACACAGAUGCAUAUAAUUACACCGACACAUACACACAAAUUCAUAUAGACACCAACACAUACACACAUAUAGAUACACACAGACACAUACACACACAUAAAUACACACCAACAUAUGCACAUAAAAAUACACACCCUGACACACAGAUGCACAUACACAGAUGUGUG